GGUUUGAAGAAAGAUUUAUCGCUCUGGGAGGGUCUCGCGGCCUAUCAGCUAGUUGGUGAGGUAACGGCUCACCAAGGCAUCGACGGGUAGCUGGUCUGAGAGGACGAUCAGCCACACUGGAACUGAGACACGGUCCAGACUCCUACGGGAGGCAGCAGUAGGGAAUCUUGCGCAAUGGGCGAAAGCCUGACGCAGCAAUGCCGCGUGCGGGACGAAGGCCCUAGGGUCGUAAACCGCUUUCAGUAGGGACGAAAAUGACGGUACCUGCAGAAGAAGCUCCGGCCAACUACGUG
rnacentral:rRNA from 1 species